UUGUAUGUUGCCACAAGGCCACAAUGGGAGACGAUGAGCAUUUAAGUAACAUUAUAUUUACAUAACGGUAUCAUAUACAAAUACAUCCAAAAAGUCCAAAGAGAAGAAGAAAAAAAAUAAAAAGUGUAGCAACAGUAGGGUAGUUGGGAGCAGAAGAAACAAUCAAUGGGUGGGAAGCAGAAACAGAGAAAGCAACGAGCUGCAGUAAUUUAUUUGACAAACAUCGCCGCCGCCAUAACCGACCAAAAACCUACUCCAACUGUCUUCCCUUUCACAUUAACAUUCCCAUCAACGGUUGUGAAGUGGGUCGGAUGCAUUUGGAACUCUUCUUUCGCUGGAGAAGAAGACAUCAAGCGACCGAUGUCGACGGAACCGAAACCGCUUCUGUCGAAGAUGCUGCUUCUUAUGAUCAUCAUGCCUCUCUGUUUUUGGAGUCAGGAGUUGCUCAUGAUCCUCUGCAGCAACAAGUAGUGCAGCCUGGUGAUGAUCAUCCUCUGCUGAAACCCAAAGCAGAUAGAAGAAGACCAGAACGAAAAGCAACUGGAGAUGUUUACAACUUCGCAUUUUUUGGAAUUGGGUUGGAAAACAGAGAGUGAGAGUGAUUGGAAUUCACGGAGAAGAAGGGGAGAAAAAGAGGGUCCGGUCCAGAAAGAGGUGGAGACAAAAUAAAAGGAAAAGUGCAGAGCAGAGCAGAGGAAGAAGCCAAACAGAAGUUCUUAUAAAAGAGAGAACAAAUAUACAAAAAGGCAGAGAGUGAAAAAUUAAAGCUACAUGGCUUUGCUAUAUGCUAGUAGACUAGUAGUAAUUGCUGUUUGAAUCUGACUGACUGUGGAGAAGAAAACUGCAAAAAUUAAAGAGGGAGUGGCAGAAACAGAUAGAGUAGACAGUGAG
rnacentral:lncRNA from 1 species